GCUAGCGGCAGGCCUAACACAUGCAAGUCGAGGGGCAGCGGGGAUAAGCUUGCUUAUCCGCCGGCGACCGGCGCACGGGUGCGCAACGCGUAUAGAAUCUGCCCUGUACUGGGGAAUAGCCCAGAGAAAUUUGGAUUAAKGCCCCAUGGUAUGUAUKWGUGGCAUCACMUAUACAUUAAAGGCUACGGUACAGGAUGACUAUGCGUCCCAUUAGUUAGUUGGUAAGGUAACGGCUUACCAAGGCAGCGAUGGGUAGGGGCCCUGAGAGGGGGAUCCCCCACACUGGUACUGAGACACGGACCAGACUCCUACGGGAGGCAGCAGUGAGGAAUAUUGGACAAUGGGCGGGAGCCUGAUCCAGCCAUGCCGCGUGCAGGAAGACGGUCCUAUGGAUUGUAAACUGCUUUUGUACGGGAAGAACAAGGGGCACGUGUGCCCCUCUGACGGUACCGUAAGAAUAAGGAUCGGCUAACUCCGUGCCAGCAGCCGCGGUAAUACGGAGGAUCCGAGCGUUAUCCGGAAUCAUUGGGUUUAAAGGGUCCGUAGGCGGGCCAUUAAGUCAGGGGUGAAAGUCUGCGGCUCAACCGUAGAAUUGCCCUUGAUACUGGUGGUCUUGAGUUAUGGUGAAGUAACUAGAAUAUGUAGUGUAGCGGUGAAAUGCAUAGAUAUUACAUAGAAUACCGAUUGCGAAGGCAGGUUACUAACCAUAUACUGACGCUGAUGGACGAAAGCGUGGGGAGCGAACAGGAUUAGAUACCCUGGUAGUCCACGCCGUAAACGAUGGAUACUAGCUGUCCGGAUGCAAAUCUGGGCGGCCAAGCGAAAGUGAUAAGUAUCCCACCUGGGGAGUACGUCCGCAAGGAUGAAACUCAAAGGAAUUGACGGGGGCCC
rnacentral:rRNA from 1 species